UACGUAGGGUGCGAGCGUUAAUCGGAAUUACUGGGCGUAAAGCGUGCGCAGGUGGUUCGUUGCGUCGUGCGUGAAAGACCCCGGCUCAACUGGGGGGUGUCGUGCGAUACGGGCGGACUGGAGGCCAGUAGGGGGAUGCGGAAUUCCGGGUGUAGUGGUGGAAUGCGUAGAGAUCCGGAGGAACACCAGCGGCGAAGGCGGCAUCCUGGGCUGGUCCUGACACUCAUGAGCGAAAGCGUGGGGAGCGAUCCGG
rnacentral:rRNA from 1 species